rnacentral:rRNA from 1 species
AACGAACGCUGGCGGCGUGCCUAACACAUGCAAGUCGAGCGGGAAAGUUCCCUUCGGGGAGCGAGUACAGCGGCGAACGGGUGAGUAACACGUAGGUAACCUACCCUGGAGAUCGGGAUAACCUGCCGAAAGGCGGGCUAAUACCGGAUAAGACCACGAGGGCUGCGGCCCUUGAGGAAAAAGAUGGCCUCUGCUUGCAAGCUAUCACUCUGGGAUGGGGCCUGCGCGCCAUUAGCAGUUGGUGAGGUAACGGCUCACCAAGGCUGAGAUGGCUAGCUGGUCUGAGAGGAUGGCCAGCCACACUGGGACUGAGACACGGCCCAGACUCCUACGGGAGGCAGCAGUGGGGAAUAUUGCGCAAAUGGGCGAAAGCCUGACGCAGCGACGCCGCGUGGGUGAUGAAGGCCU